rnacentral:rRNA from 1 species
GACGAACGCUGGCGGCGUGCCUAACACAUGCAAGUCGAGCGAUGAAAUUUCCUUCGGGAAAUGGAUUAGCGGCGGACGGGUGAGUAACACGUGGGUAACCUGCCUCAUAGAGGGGAAUAGCCUUUCGAAAGGAAGAUUAAUACCGCAUAGGAUUGUAGUACCGCAUGGUACAGCAAUUAAAGGAGUAAUCCGCUAUGAGAUGGACCCGCGGCGCAUUAGCUAGUUGGUGAGGUAACGGCUCACCAAGGCGACGAUGCGUAGCCGACCUGAGAGGGUGAUCGGCCACAUUGGGACUGAGACACGGCCCAGACUCCUACGGGAGGCAGCAGUGGGGAAUAUUGCACAAUGGGGGAAACCCUGAUGCAGCAACGCCGCGUGAGUGAUGACGGCCUUCGGGUUGUAAAGCUCUGUCUUCAGGGACGAUAAUGACGGUACCUGAGGAGGAAGCCACGGCUAACUACGUGCCAGCAGCCGCGGUAAUACGUAGGUGGCAAGCGUUGUCCGGAUUUACUGGGCGUAAAGGGAGCGUAGGCGGAUCUUUAAGUGGGAUGUGAAAUACUCGGGCUCAACCUGAGUGCUGCAUUCCAAACUGGAGAUCUAGAGUGCAGGAGGGGAGAGUGGAAUUCCUAGUGUAGCGGUGAAAUGCGUAGAGAUUAGGAAGAACACCAGUGGCGAAGGCGACUCUCUGGACUGUAACUGACGCUGAGGCUCGAAAGCGUGGGGAGCGAACAGG